rnacentral:misc_RNA from 1 species
UUUCCGUAGGUGAACCUGCGGAAGGAUCAUUGACAAUGAGUGAGCUAUGACACUUUUGAGAAAAUACAUCUCCACCUUGUGGGGGACGUUAUGAGACCCUGUAUAGUUAUAUGGUAGGUUACGGAACAGGGAACCUCUAAAACUAAACGACAUCACCGAGAACUUAUUUGUAUGAACAAUUGUUAUCACGAACUAACUUAAUUCGAAAAUACUACUUUCAAAAACGAAUCUCUAGGCACUCGCAUCGAUGAAGAACGGAGCACAUCGGAACAGCACACG